rnacentral:tRNA from 1 species
CGGGCCAUAGGAUAAUGGUAGUCCAUACCCUUGGGGUGGGUAAGGCGGCAGUUCGAUUUCUGCCUGGCCCGA